rnacentral:lncRNA from 14 species
GAAGCAUUUGGGAGAGGAAUCAGAAAGUUCUGAAAUCUCUCAUUUAGAUAAAUGUGUGAAGUGAAGAGACCCCCGAAGGGUCCUUGGUCCUACGUGCAGCAGAGGAAGAGCAGACACCUUUCUG